UACGUAGGGGGCUAGCGUUGUCCGGAAUCAUUGGGCGUAAAGAGCGUGUAGGCGGCCCGGUAAGUCCGCUGUGAAAGUCGGGGGCUCAACCCUCGAAUGCCGGUGGAUACUGUCGGGCUAGAGUGCGGAAGAGGCGAGUGGAAUUCCUGGUGUAGCGGUGGAAUGCGCAGAUAUCAGGAGGAAUACCGGUGGCGAAGGCGGCAUCCUGGACCGAGAUUGACGCUGAUGAGCGAAAGCUAGGGGAGCAAACGGG
rnacentral:rRNA from 1 species